rnacentral:rRNA from 1 species
UACGUAGGGUGCAAGCGUUGUCCGGAAUUAUUGGGCGUAAAGAGCUUGUAGGCGGUUUGUCGCGUCUGCUGUGGAAUUUCGGGGCUCAACCCCGAACUUGCAGUGGGUACGGGCAGACUAGAGUGUGGUAGGGGAGACUGGAAUUCCUGGUGUAGCGGUGAAAUGCGCAGAUAUCAGGAGGAACACCGAUGGCGAAGGCAGGUCUCUGGGCCAUAACUGACGCUGAGAAGCGAAAGCAUGGGGAGCGAACAGG